ACAAAACAAGCAUCCACCCACCUACCAACCCAAGCCCUUAAAAUUCGAAAACUUUAUAUUCGUUUACAAAAAGGGAACACAAUUUUGUUGUACUAGCUUUUGAAGUGCGUUCCGAAAGUGCAGUGAGAAACAAGAGACAUGGCUUCAAGGUUGUUGUGGGCUUCAAGGGCUGCUUCGUACCUCAGGAUCUCUGUCUUCCACAGAGGAUUUUCUUCUGGUAAAUCAACCUUCAGCAACUGCUAUUUUUGCUUUCUAUGUCAAUGUUUAUACUUCUUUUAAUGUGUAUGCAGUGAUCAUAAAAAUGUGAAUUUGUGAAAAAUACAUAUGCACGUGGAUCUUAUUUAUUUGUUUGUUGAAAUACUUGAUCUGUGAUUCUGUUCCGUUAAAGAUUUGAUUUUUGUAACUGGGUGCUGUUUAUUAUUGUCACUGGUGUAAAGGGACUUCAUAGAAAGUCAGUCUAUGUAAGCUUUGGUUCUCUCUGAGUAUUGAUAUUCGGGAUCAGGUUCUUGAUUAUUUUGCCUAUUUAUUAAGAUUCGUCUUUGUAAGUCCCUGAUAUCUUAAAAAGAUGAAUGCCAGGCUGGGCAGAGUUUGGUCGGCUUGCCGAUUUUCUAUUUUUAAAAUAGGAAAGGAGCCUGUAU
rnacentral:lncRNA from 1 species